UACGUAGGGUGCAAGCGUUGUCCGGAAUUAUUGGGCGUAAAGAGCUCGUAGGCGGUCUGUCGCGUCGGCUGUGAAAACCUGGGGCUCAACUCCGGGCCUGCAGCCGAUACGGGCUGACUAGAAUUCGGUAGGGGAGACUGGAAUUCCUGGUGUAGCGGUGAAAUGCGCAGAUAUCAGGAGGAACACCGGUGGCGAAGGCGGGUCUCUGGGCCGAUAUUGACGCUGAGGAGCGAAAGCGUGGGGAGCAAACAGG
rnacentral:rRNA from 1 species